rnacentral:rRNA from 1 species
CCUACGGGAGGCUGCAGUGAGGAAUAUUGGUCAAUGGGCGCGAGCCUGAACCAGCCAAGUAGCGUGAAGGAUGACUGCCCUACGGGUUGUAAACUUCUUUUAUAAAGGAAUAAAGUGAGGCACGUGUGCCUUUUUGCAUGUACUUUAUGAAUAAGGAUCGGCUAACUCCGUGCCAGCAGCCGCGGUAAUACGGAGGAUCCGAGCGUUAUCCGGAUUUAUUGGGGUUAAAGGGGGCGUAGAUGGGUUGUUAAGUCAGUUGUGAAAGUUUGCGGCUCAACCGUAAAAUUGCAAUUGAUACUGGCAGACUUGAGUACAGUUGAGGUAUACGGAAUUCGUGGUGUAGCGGUGAAAUGCUUAGAUAUCACGUAGAACUCCGAUAGCGAAGGCAGCCUACUAGACUGCCACUGACAUUGAUGCUCGAGAGUGUGGGUAUCAAACAGGAUUAGAUACCCGGGUAGUC